CGAGCGUUUCGGUUGGUCGCGUUUAGAGGACGUCCAUGGAGGUCGACCUGGCAGGCCCCCUCAAGUUAACGUUUAGGUCCCUUCAGAAGUUUGAUCGUGACCACCGGUAACCUCCGGUCGCUGUGCUCUGAAAGCCAGGGACGUCUCCAUCCCGAGGGAGGUCUCCAUCACUACAAAGGAAUCAAGGAAAAAGUCAUUUCCUGAGAAUAAGAAUACUUGACAUCAUGGACUAGGAGAGGGAGUGGAGCUCUUCCUGAUAAAAUAUGUAAGUGAGGAUAAAUUCUUAGCCCGCUUGCUUUGGACAGGAUCUCAGAACACAGGGUCUUAAAUCUUGGUGUAGAUUAAGGAAGUGAGGGAAAGUUAAACAGGCAUCAUCACAAUAAGAGUUUCAAAAUGCUUUCCAAAGACCCUGAAGCAAUAGCUCAGGGAAGGGAGUUCACUACAGUGUGAUAGUACACGGAAGGUGAUCGGCUACAGCAGUGCAAAAUGUGGUAGCCCUUGGUAUGUUCUUGGGGUUCUUC